CUUAGUGGGUACUAGAAUCCACACAAACUACACAUAAGUCCAACUUUGAUCGGCCCACCUAUGUGCAUCUAUGAGUAGGUUCUUAACUAAUUAUUUCUCCAAACAACUUCUAGUAAUUAAUUUUGCCCCAGACAUCUCUUCAACAGGCAUGUGGCGCCUUCACUAAAAAUUUUGGUUAGAUCCAACCAUUAACAUGACUAUGCCAAGCACAUCCAACAAAUGAAUAUCCAAGCCUGAGUGUGGCUCAACCAACCUGAGCAUU
rnacentral:lncRNA from 1 species